rnacentral:misc_RNA from 1 species
GAUGAAGAACGCAGCGAAAUGCGAUAAGUAAUGUGAAUUGCAGAAUCCAGUGAAUCAUCGAAUCUUUGAACGCACAUUGCGCCCGCCAGCAUUCUGGCGGGCAUGCCUGUCCGAGCGUCAUUUCAACCCUCAAGCACUGCUUGGUGUUGGGGCGCUACGCGCUGAGCGUAGGCCCCUAAAAUCAGUGGCGGGCCUGCCGUGGCUCCGGGCGUAGUAGCAACACCUCGCCCUGGAACCGCGGUGCGCUCCGGCCGUUAAAACCCCCACUAUACUGAAGGUUGACCUCGGAUCAGGUAGGAAUACCCGCUGAACUUAAGCAUAUCAAUAAGCGGAGGA